CCUUCAUGAAGCUGGAAUUGCUAGUAAUGGCAGGUCAGCAUACUGCCGUGAAUACGUUCCCGGGCCUUGUACACACCGCCCGUCGCACCAUGAGAGUUGGGAAUACCCGAAGCCUGUGAGCUAACUUAUAGAGGCAGCAGUCGAAGGUAGAAUCAAUGAUUGGGGUGAAGUCGUAACAAGGUACC
rnacentral:rRNA from 1 species